rnacentral:lncRNA from 1 species
CUGCGUCUUCACCAUCAGCAGCAUCUCCUGCCUGGACAACGGAGGGACCCUGACUGCUCCAUCUGCAUCCACCCUGCCCCCAACCCCCAUUACCACACAGAAGCCAAGCUUUUCCAAGGAUAUCUUCCUUGCUGGGCUUCCAAUUCUUGGACACACAACUGUAAGGAACUGCCCAAAUCUCAUCCUUAGCGAAGAUCAAACAAGAAUUAAACAAGCAAGUGAUAAACAUCGUAUUGACUUAACCUAACCACAUCAGGUUAAUUCUAAAGGGCAUCUUCUACUGGCUGGUGACGUGGUCUAAUGGAGUGAGUUGAAAUUUCAUCAUAUGCUCAUUGGACAAGCGGGACUCAUAUGCCCAAGCGUUGUUAAUAAAUAAUCUAGAAUUGCCGGACAACUAGGAGAAGCCAAUCUCCAGCAGGACUUAGGAGCAGUAGGGCACACAGUGGCCAUAUCUUGAUUGACACUCUCUUCAAAGGUCUACUAAUCCUAAGAUCUAUGUGAAUUGUUUUAUGACACAA